UUGUUGGAGAGGUAACGGCUCACCAAGGCAUCGACGGGUAGCUGGUCUGAGAGGAUGAUCAGCCACACUGGAACUGAGACACGGUCCAGACUCCUACGGGAGGCAGCAGUGGGGAAUUUUGCACAAUGGGCGAAAGCCUGAUGCAGCGAUGCCGCGUGCGGGAAGAAGGCCCUAGGGUUGUAAACCGCUUUCAGGAGGGAAGAAAAUGACGGUACCUCCAGAAGAAGGUGCGGCCAACUACGUGCCAGCAGCCGCGGUGACACGUAGGCACCAAGCGUUAUCCGGAUUUAUUGGGCGUAAAGAGCUCGUAAGCGGUUUGGUAAGUCGGGUGUGAAAACUCUGGGCUCAACCCAGAGAGGCCACUCGAUACUGCUAUGACUAGAGUACGGUAGGGGAGCGGGGAAUUCCUGGUGUAGCGGUGAAAUGCGCAGAUAUCAGGAGGAACACCAGCGGCGAAGGCGCCGCUCCGGGCCGUAACUGACGCUGAGGAGCGAAAGCAUGGGUAGCAAACAGGAUUAGAUACCCUGGUAGUCCAUGCCGUAAACGUUGGGCACUAGGUGUGGGUCUCAACCAACGAGAUCCGCGCCGUCGCUAACGCAUUAA
rnacentral:rRNA from 1 species